CCCACCCCCCGUAUCAGAUGCUUGGGACUCUUUCCAGACCCACUUCGGGUGACUCAUCGAGUCCCAUUCUGGAUAAUGUCAUCAGAAUGGCACCACUUCUGACCCUAAGGUCCCCUGACAAAGUUGCACCAACAGGCAUGGGCUGCCCAUUUUCUCUUACCCAGUCCCGCCUUUUGCUUAACAGGGCAAAAACAGUCAGUUCAUACCUGAGUGCCCUGCGUAGACUCCCCUGCCCAGACUUCUUGGCCUGACUGUCUGAAGCUCUGCUCAGUUGGUUCUCUCCACCUUGCCAACUGCUCUGUGCCAGCAGCAACCCUGCCCCCAACCUCAUCACCGUACCCCACCACCCCUCCCCCUGCUGAAGAGGAAACCAGGGCAUCCUCAGGACCUGAGUUUGGCCUGCCUGGCAUCCUUGCGUGGAAUGCCCACCUCCUCACUCUCUGGGACCUUGCAGAUUCUGGGCAAUGCCAUGCUCUCAGUCCUGACUUUCUGCGACUCUCAGACGGAGUUUUGUUCAUGCCUAUUUCUACGACACCUCAGGGCCCCUUCCCACUUGCUGUAGUAGGUUCUAGCUUUUAGCCAGGGACUUUAUAUUUUCAUCUGUUAGUUGCCUGGCUUCCACACCCCACUGGUCAAGACCAAGGCUCUCUCCUCCUCACUGGGAUCCACCAGGGAUCUGGAAUCCUGCCGUAUUGGAUCAGAGUCCACUCUCCUCCAGCGUGGCUUCAGAUCGGCUCCUUCCCAUCUGCCAUGACCCUCGUUCUAAAUAAGGUCGCAUUCUAAAGAACUAGCAGGGCUCCAACAUGGGGAUUUGGGAGGGAGAAAGGCACAAUUUAAUUCUUAACUAUGUUUAGGUUUCUCCAAAAAAUGUGUAUAUAAUGAGGAUUAGGGGAGAUCUGAGAUUCCCUGCAGAUAAGUCACAGAGACCUUGGGAGCUGCUGUGCUGGCCUUCAGGAGGCAGGGACACUGAGGAGCAUGUAAGACAUCAGACGUGGCGGUGUCCCCAGACAAGAACAGGGCCUCGCCGCACAGGAAAUGGCUCUGAAGAAGCCAGCCUCAGGAGGACCCGGCCCUGCCUCUCCCUGCUGGGACUGUCCCCUUGAAUGAUAAACAGGCAUCUCUGGCCAGGGGUCUGGGAGCAGAGCCACUUGGUUCCCAGGGCGGGUUUCUUGUUUCCCUGCAGGCAGGUGUUGGCAGGGAUAACGCAGAAGCCUUUGUCCCCUCUGGUCAUUCCACAGCUUGGAUUCUGUCUCUGGCCAGGUCCCAGAGAUGCCGGCUGCUUUCCUCCGGCGGAAGAAGCUGCUCUUUCUGUGUGCAGAUGGUCCCGUUGCAGGACACCUCGGUCACUGGAGAGCAGGCUGGCAGGAGAGUUCCCCUUCCCCAGAGCAGGACGGUGGCUGGGUGGAAAUGACCUUGAGGUGGGAGGAAUGGGGCCUAACUGGCCACUCGGUGACCCUGAGAAGAGGGCAGGAAAGCACGUUGACUCUGACUCGCUGCAGGGAAGAGUUAAAACACGGAGGCGAAGUUGUUUACCCGGAGAGGGACCAUGGAGGGUGGGGACAGGUUUGAGCUGAGCCAGUCGGCUGGUUCCUACCGGUGGUGUCCGAAAGGACCUGGUCAAGGAAGUACACCCGAGGAGAGAAAAGCCUGGAGACUCAGUGACCGGGACUGCCGCAGCGGAGAGGCGCUGGCCAGCGAAAGAAAGCGACAGAUGGCACAAAGAAAGCAUAAUGUGAAAUAGGAAGAAAAGGUCCACAGGGGAAGUAGGCAAAGAAAAGAUGAGGAAAG